UACAUGUACCUAAAAUUUCAUUUCUCUUAUUCAAAAUUUUAUAGUUUAUUAAAGCUAAUUUUUCGUCCAUGCACAAUUUACACUGCCCUGAAGCCCGCAUAGUAGUAUUUGAGGUCUUGAGUAUCUUCCAGGUCACACUGAUACCUAAGACACUAAUGGAAGAUUCCUCUGUCGGUACACGAAAAUACACAAACUAUACAACGGAUGAGCUUUGAUGAUGAAGUGUCUGAUCAAUAUUCUUUGGAAUGGCAACAUGGUCGUUUUGGACUUGGAUCGGUGAAAGUGGACCAGCCAUAACAUUGGGCAUUGCUACAACCCACAAGACACGGAUGUAACAAAAAUAAAAUCCAUACUGCCUGACUUUGAUAGUGAUAAUCCGGAGAGAGACAUGACUGUCGAGAUCAUAUCGGGCGAGUUGGAAAAAGCCAACAACAAAGGUUUUCAAGACUUGAGAAUGUU